rnacentral:rRNA from 1 species
UACAGAGGUGGCAAGCGUUGUUCGGAAUUACUGGGCGUAAAGGGCGCGUAGGCGGCCAUCUAAGUCAGACGUGAAAUCCCCCCGGCUUAACCUGGGAACUGCGUCUGAUACUGGAUGGCUUGAAUCCGGGAGAGGGAUGCAGAAUUCCAGGUGUAGCGGUGAAAUGCGUAGAUAUCUGGAGGAACACCGGUGGCGAAGGCGGCAUCCUGGACCAACACUGACGCUGAGUGAGCGAAAGCCAGGGGAGCAAACGGG